rnacentral:rRNA from 1 species
CCUACGGGAUGCUGCAGUGGGGAAUAUUGGACAAUGGGCGAAAGCCUGAUCCAGCCAUGCCGCGUGUGUGAAGAAGGCCUUCGGGUUGUAAAGCACUUUCAGUGGGGAAGAAAGCCUUGGGGCUAAUACCCUCGAGGAAGGACAUCACCCACAGAAGAAGCACCGGCUAACUCCGUGCCAGCAGCCGCGGUAAUACGGAGGGUGCGAGCGUUAAUCGGAAUUACUGGGCGUAAAGCGCGCGUAGGCGGUCUGAUAAGCCGGUUGUGAAAGCCCCGGGCUCAACCUGGGAACGGCAUCCGGAACUGUCAGGCUAGAGUGCAGGAGAGGAAGGUAGAAUUCCCGGUGUAGCGGUGAAAUGCGUAGAGAUCGGGAGGAAUACCAGUGGCGAAGGCGGCCUUCUGGACUGACACUGACGCUGAGGUGCGAAAGCGUGGGUAGCAAACAGGAUUAGAUACCCCGGUAGU